UCCUACGGGAGGCAGCAGUGAGGAAUUUUGGUCAAUGGGGGAAACCCUGAACCAGCGACGCCGUGUGUGGGAUGAAGGGGCUACGCUCUGUAAACCACUGUCAGAUAGGAAAAAAAGUACCCUCGGGGUACCGGGAUUGUACUAUCAGAGGAAGGACCGGCUAACUACGUGCCAGCAGCCGCGGUAAUACGUAGGGUCAAGCGUUGUCCGGAUUUACUGGGUAUAAAGGGUCCGCAGGCGGGCCUGUGCGUCGAAUGUUAAAGCCCACGGCUCAACCGUGGAAAAGCAUUCGAUACGGCGGGUCUUGAGUGUGAGAGAGGUAGGUGGAAUUCCUGGUGUAGCGGUGAAAUGCGUAGAUAUCAGGAGGAACACCAGUGGCGAAGGCGGCCUACUGGCUCACUACUGACGCUCAGGGACGAAAGCGUGGGGAGCGAACAGGAUUAGAUACCCUGGUAGUCCACGCCCUAAACGAUGUAUGCUUGGUGUUCGCAUUGCGAGUGCCGGAGGAAAUCCGUUAAGCAUACCACCUGGGAAGUACGAUCGCAAGGUUGAAACUCAAAGGAAUUGACGGA
rnacentral:rRNA from 1 species